CACAUGAAGCGCAUGAUGAUGCACUUGAACUGACUCUGCAUGAGGAGUUUAUAUUCAAUCCAACACUGAGCUUCAUAUG
rnacentral:snoRNA from 1 species